AUUGAACGCUGGCGGCAUGCCUUACACAUGCAAGUCGAACGGCAGCGCGGGGCAACCUGGCGGCGAGUGGCGAACGGGUGAGUAAUACAUCGGAACGUGCCCUGGAGUGGGGGAUAACCAUCCGAAAGGAUGGCUAAUACCGCAUAUGCUCUGAGGAGGAAAGCAGGGGACCGCAAGGCCUUGUGCUCUUGGAGCGGCCGAUGUCAGAUUAGCUAGUUGGCGGGGUAAAGGCCCACCAAGGCGACGAUCUGUAGCGGGUCUGAGAGGAUGAGCCGCCAAACUGGGACUGAGACACGGCCCAGACUCCUACGGGAGGCAGCAGUGGGGAAUUUUGGACAAUGGGGGCAACCCUGAUCCAGCAAUGCCGCGUGCAGGAAGAAGGCCUUCGGGUUGUAAACUGCUUUUGUACGGAACGAAACGGCUCUGGUUAAUACCCGGGGCUAAUGACGGUACCGUAAGAAUAAGCACCGGCUAACUACGUGCCAGCAGCCGCCGUAAUAC
rnacentral:rRNA from 1 species